UACGUAGGAUGCAAGCGUUGUCCGGAAUUAUUGGGCGUAAAGAGUUCGUAGGCGGUUGCCUAAGUCUGGUGUUAAAUACAGGAGCUCAACUCCUGCAUGGCACUGGAAACUGGGCGGCUAGAGUAUGGUAGAGGUCACGGGAAUUCCAGGUGUAGCGGUGAAAUGCGUAGAUAUUGGGAAGAACACCGGUGGCGAAGGCGGCUCACUGGCUCGUUUCUGACGCUCAGGCGCGACAGCGUGGGGAUCAAACAGG
rnacentral:rRNA from 1 species